rnacentral:tRNA from 1 species
UGGAUCACCUCCUAACAGGGAGACAACAAAAUGUUUAAUAUUAUUAUUUUGUCACCUUAGGUCGAUCGGUAUCUCACGUUUUUAAUUUAUUAAGAAUUUCAUUUCCUAAGUUUUUCUAGGUCACACCCAUUAUUUUUCCUGGGCCAUUAGCUCAGGUGGUUAGAGCGCACCCCUGAUAAGGGUGAGGUCCCUGGUUCAAGUCCAGGAUGGCCCAUAUCUCUAUGUUGGGGGUAUAGCUCAGUUGGUAGAGCGCCUGCUUUGCAAGCAGGAUGUCAGCGGUUCGAGUCCGCUUACCUCCACUGAUUACCACCUCUUCCAUAAAUGAAGAAAGGAAAUGUUUUGAGUUGUGAUCAAAUACUGAACGAAUCUAGCUUCCUAAUGAAAUUAUUAAGAUGCUGGAUUCAUUGAAUUAAUUUCAUUGUUUUCAGAGAACCUUGACAACUGCAUAGAUUAUUUUUAAAGACAAUAAGCAUCUUUAAUGAUGCAGAUUUAUUAUUUGUGCGAAUGCAUUAAUAACAAUUCUAUUAAGCUGAUGCUUCAAUUUUUGAAGUUAUUGGUCAAGCUACAAAGGGCUCACGGAGGAUACCUAGGCACACAGAGGCGAUGAAGG